rnacentral:lncRNA from 1 species
GGGACAAGACCGUGACAUCAUGCUGAGUUUAGUCCUGAAAGUGGAUCAUAGAAAUUCCUGUUUACCAAGAUAUUCCAUAUUAUCUUCAUUUAAUUGGAAAGAAGACUUGAGAAAAAUAUUGAAAAAUAUGUGAAAUUCUGAGGCACAAAAUACUUUUUGACAUCUGAUGUUAUAAACUUACCCUUGUAGUAAAGCUGCAAUACAUCACAAAU